rnacentral:rRNA from 1 species
GACGAACGCUGGCGGCGUGCUUAACACAUGCAAGUCGAACGGAAAGGCCCUGCUUUUGUGGGGUGCUCGAGUGGCGAACGGGUGAGUAACACGUGAGUAACCUGCCCUUGACUUUGGGAUAACUUCAGGAAACUGGGGCUAAUACCGGAUAGGAGCUCCUGCUGCAUGGUGGGGGUUGGAAAGUUUCGGCGGUUGGGGAUGGACUCGCGGCUUAUCAGCUUGUUGGUGGGGUAGUGGCUUACCAAGGGUUUGACGGGUAGCCGGCCUGAGAGGGUGACCGGCGACAUGGGGACUGAGAUACGGCGCAGACUCCUACGGGAGGCAGCAGUGGGGAAUAUUGCACAAUGGGCGGAAGCCUGAUGCAGCAACGCCGCGUGCGGGAUGACGGCCUUCGGGUUGUAAACCGCUUUCGCCUGUGACGAAGCGUGAGUGACGGUAAUGGGUAAAGAAGCACCGGCUAACUACGUG